rnacentral:tRNA from 2 species
AAGUGAGAAGCAAAUACUUGCAGUCAGUUUCGACCUGUCCCUAGAUAACAAAAUUUAUCCUCACUUU